rnacentral:lncRNA from 1 species
CAUGGCCUGCUCUUUGCUUGGGCUGAGCUGACAGACAAAAUGUCCUCGUCCCAGUGGGCAGGGUGAAUGUGUUAGCCUUACCUGCAUGCCUGAACGCUCAUCUAGUGGAGGCAGGCUCCCGGCAGGAGCCUCAGGCGGUGUUUGUAGAUGCUGUGGCUCACUAGUCACUGCCCUCCAGACCCCAUGGAUUAACUGGCUAUUAGCAUUUCACAUUUAGCUCAAUAACUAUUAAAACAGUAUUUUACAUCAUCAUUAAUUAUGGCUUAAUUAACAUGCCUGUCUUUGCAUUGUAAAGGACUAAGGUUUCUCAUACAGUCAGCGAUUCCAUCACUGCUACAAUCAACAGCUACAAGGCAGCAUCCUCUUGAAUUGCUUCUCAGCUGGAACUGACAGGGCUUCAAACCCAUUUCAGAGCAGUCAGAAAGAGAAGCUUAAAAAAAUCUUUAGCUGUGGUUUAAGUCGCUUUACACUAGUGUGAGGUAGCCGGAUUCACAUCAUUAAAGCUUGAGAGUUUGAAACACUGCUGUCUAUGGCCUGAGGUAUCACAUCCAGAUGGAGUGAAAAGAGCCUUUAGCUACACAGCCUUUCUGUGUGCUUCAAGGGAUAUACUUGUAGACCUGCACUCCAGUAAAGUCUUAUUGCACUCUUGAAAUUUUGUGUACUCAGUAUGAUUUGAGGAGAACUUGUGGUCUGCCACAUGUGAGAAGACAUGGAACUCAGAGGAACUCAGAGGCAGAAAAUGGAGGAGGGACUGUAAACACCAUUGAGUUUGGCAAGUGUGUUGCUUAUCAGGACCACGUGGUAUGUGAGGACUCCGAGAUUUGGUACUUGUGUACCUGUAACACAGCACCAUGUCUGGCUGUUUUCUGUGCUGUGAUCCUGCAGGCACCACAUCCAGCUAGAUGGCAGAGUUGUGGGACAGGACAGAAGCCAUGAUAUUCUGCUGGUUAGAAGUGUCUGGAAAGCAUUGAGAAUUUGGCACAGGAACGUAAAAAUUGCAAAGCCGGUAACUGAAAUAUUUCUCCGUUUCCCUGGUGGGUUUUAGGUUGAAAAGAGCAGAGGACCUGAAGCAACAGAUCAUAA